ACUGAAGACCCCAUCUGGGGGCUUGAGCCCCCUCAGGCUUCCCAGGUGGGAAGUGUCACUCCCUGGGGGUGUUUAUUUGCCCUCUUGUAUUUUUUCAGUCCUUCUACAGAAUUUUCUUUAUUUUUAGCUCACUCUUUCCUACCACGUUUUUCAGUCUAUCUUCUCUACUGCCUCCACCACACUGCCUUACAUAAUCCAAAGCACAAUAAAAUUGACAUUUAAUUAA
rnacentral:lncRNA from 1 species